UACGGAGGGGUGCGAGCGUUUGUUCGGAAUCACUGGGCGUAAAGCGCGUGUAGGCGGCCCUGUAAGUUCUGGAUGAUGGAAAGCCCCGGGGCCUUACCCCCGGGAAGUGCAUUUGGAAACUGCAAGGCUCGGAGUACCGGAGAGGAAGGUGGAAUUCCUGGUGUAGCGGUGGAAAUGACGUAGAUAUCGAGGAGGAACACCGGUAGGCGAAGGCGGGCCUUCUGGACGGAUACAUGACGCUGGAGACGCGAAAGCGUGGGGAGCAAACAGG
rnacentral:rRNA from 1 species